rnacentral:rRNA from 1 species
AAUCAACGCUGGCGGCGUGCCUAAUACAUGCAAGUCGUACGCGAAGACCCCGCAAGGGGUUGUUAGCGUGGCAAACGGGUGAGUAACGCGUGGGCGACCUGCCUUCGAGUGGGGGAUAACCUUCCGAAAGGAGGGCUAAUACCGCAUGACAUACCGCGCUUGGAUGCGCGGAUAUCAAAGCCGGGGAUCGCAAGACCUGGCGCUUGAAGAGGGGCCUACGUCCGAUUAGCUAGUUGGUGGGGUAACGGCCCACCAAGGCGACGAUCGGUAUCCGGCCUGAGAGGGCGGACGGACACACUGGAACUGAGACACGGUCCAGACUCCUACGGGAGGCAGCAGUAGGGAAUUGUUCGCAAUGGGCGCAAGCCUGACGACGCAACGCCGCGUGGAGGAUGAAGGGCUUCGGCUCGUAAACUCCUUUCGACCGAGAUGAAUACCCACAGGGCUAAUAUCCCUGUGGACUGACAGUAUCGAGGGAAGAAGCCCGGCUAACUCCGUGCCAGCAGCCGACGG